rnacentral:tRNA from 1 species
AAUUAGGAAGCGAAAAUCGCUUUUAGUUUCGGCCUAAAGUUUGGUGGGCAGCCACCCCUAAUUU